rnacentral:rRNA from 1 species
UGGAAAGUUCCGGCGGUACAGGUUGAGCCCGCGGCCUAUCAGCUUGUUGGUGGGGUGAUGGCCCACCAAGGCGACGACGGGUAGCCGGCCUGAGAGGGUGACCGGCCACACUGGGACUGAGACACGGCCCAGACUCCUACGGGAGGCAGCAGUGGGGAAUAUUGCACAAUGGGCGCAAGCCUGAUGCAGCGACGCCGCGUGGGGGAUGACGGCCUUCGGGUUGUAAACCCCUUUCGCCCGGGACGAAGCGCAAGUGACGGUACCGGGAGAAGAAGCACCGGCCAACUACGUGCCAGCAGCCGCGGUAAUACGUAGGGUGCAAGCGUUGUCCGGAAUUAUUGGGCGUAAAGAGCUCGUAGGCGGUGUGUCACGUCUGCCGUGAAAACCUGCGGCUUAACCGUGGGCGGGCGGUGGAUACGGGCAUCACUUGAGUUCGGUAGGGGAGACUGGAAUUCCUGGUGUAGCGGUGGAAUGCGCAGAUAUCAGGAGGAACACCGGUGGCGAAGGCGGGUCUCUGGGCCGAAACUGACGCUGAGGAGCGAAAGCGUGGGGAGCGAACAGGAUUAGAUACCCUGGUAGUCCACGCCGUAAACGUUGGGCGCUAGGUGUGGGGCGCUGUUCACGUGUCCCGUGCCGUAGC